GUGCUCGCUUCGGCAGCACAUAAACUAAAAUUGGAACGAUACAGAGAUUAGCAUGGCCCCUGUGCACGGAUGACACGCAAAUUCGUGAAGCAUUCCAUAUUUUU
rnacentral:snRNA from 1 species